GACACUUUGGUGGAGUGGUUAACACGCAAGCCUGCUACUGUACAAACAAAGCCAGCUUGUUCCUUCGGGAGCGCAGGUUCGAAUCCUGCAGGUGUCG